CCAGGGACUCCCAUCCAACACCUUUGUGGUGGAGUCCCACCCAUACAGAAAGCCAGACUCACUCCUUUGGGCUAAGAGGAAACACUUGUAGCAGCAGGGAAGAGACGAGGAUGGAGAGUUGAAGCCAUUUUUGAGAUGAUUCGAGAAAAGACAAUGGUCCCAGAGAUGUGUAGGAAGCAGGUGCAACCGCUCUCUAUUAUCGCUGAAGGCCUGCUCACUGUGCAACGUUCUCCACGUUCUCUCCCUUUGGAUCGUCAGCAUUCCAAAAUAAUGGGAACUUUGUGUCUGAAGCGGAGGGAGCUCAGUGGAUAGAGGGGGAGUCUGCUUCAAGAAAUUCUCUUGUCAUGGACUCUAGAGAAAGGAUUGAAUAAGUAAAAGAGCAUGAAAAAGUAGAGGAAAUGGGCAUGUGGAACAGGUGCACAGAGGAAGCA